rnacentral:lncRNA from 1 species
GCGCACAUGUCACACUCCCUUUCCGUUACUCGCUGUGAUCCCGGACCUUUUAGCCACCGACGGAUCCAUUUCUCCCAUUGCACUUGCCCUGAGGACGUAACUCAGACAAGUUGAAUUGACAUCGGGACGCUACCCAGGCAGGCCUUACAUGAUACAUGCUCCGGAACACAUCCCGUCGAGCACCCUUAUAACGCCUCUGGCCAGUGCCCGAUGGAGAUCAACCCACCAGGUCAGCUAGCAUGUGUACACGAUUCUCAGACAACGUGUUAGGUCAUAAGAGAACCUCAAUUGAUUAACUUUGCGAGCCUUAAACAGAGCAGAGUGCACAUAAACAUUUUAUUGGAUAAACAGUUUGCAUUGCAUUAAAUAAAUAGUUUGCAUUUCAUUGAAACAUUUAGAGCUUAAUAACUCAAUCAUACUUUAUACAUUUGGAAAGUAAGCCCACCUGGAUAGGCAAAGCCUGAAGAUCAUACACAUAUAAACCUGUCUUGGGAAAGCAGCG